rnacentral:rRNA from 1 species
UACGGAGGGUGCAAGCGUUGUUCGGAAUUAUUGGGCGUAAAGGGUGCGUAGGUGGCGCUGUAAGUCGGGUGUGAAAUCCUGAGGCUUAACCUCGGAACUGCAUUCGAUACUGCGGCGCUUGAGGACUGGAGAGGAGACUGGAAUUCAUGGUGUAGCAGUGAAAUGCGUAGAGAUCAUGAGGAAGACCAGUGGCGAAGGCGGGUCUCUGGACAGUUCCUGACACUGAGGCACGAAGGCCAGGGGAGCAAACGGG